UAAUAGCCACAAAUUAACUAUAUCUGAAUGAAUAAGGCUUAUGGUCUUUCUUAUGACAAAUCAAUUAUAUAAUAACUAUUCAAACCUUCAUGGUUUUGCAGGCAUGGAUGAUCCUGGUAAUGUAACAAUUCCGAAGGCAUUGCAUGACACCAAGAGAAUCAAUUACUACAAGAGCUAUUUGAACUACCUCAAGAAAGCUAUGCAUGAUGGAGCCAAAGUAACCCAUUACUUUGCAUGGUCAUUGCUCGACAACUUCGAAUGGAGAGCAGGGUACACAUCAAGAUUUGGAAUCGUCUACGUUGACUUCAAUAGCCUCAAGAGAUACCCUAAGAUGUCUGCCUACUGGUUCAAAACAUUACUUGCUAGAAAGAAGGCUUGAAUGUUGGACGUAUAGUCCAUAUGUAAUUUCACUUUCUGGUGUGUUUAAGUUAUGGUGAUCUUGAAAUAAAUGAUAAUAAGGCUUAAGGUGGCUCGUCGGGUGGCCUUCUGUGCACUGCUCUGGGAAGGGUCAAUACUCAUCAGUGUAUCAGUGUAUAUCAGUGUAACAUUUUGGGAAUUAAUGAAAUAUUAUUUAUUCAGUUCUAUCUAUUACAUCCGCCUCCGUACAUACGGUUGCCAAAUAAUCAGUCGAUCGUUUAAUUUGUUUCUCGAAAUAUACAUGGAGUAAAUUUUACAUCUAUGUACGGAGGCGGAUGUAAUAUUUGGCAAGAUCACCAUGAGUAAAUUCUACAUCUGUGUUCGGAGGCGGAUGUAAUAAAAUUCUACAUCUGUUAGAAUUUUACAUCUUUUUGUUGCCAAAUAUGUUGAGGCACAAGGUACCUCCCAACAAACAACGGAAGUGUCUAACCAACCAAUGUGUAUGAAAGUGAUGCAAACAAACCAACGUAAGUAGUAAAACAAUUAAACCUAUUUACCAACAAACAAACGUAAAGAGAGACACCAAUUUUAACGUGGUUCGGCGAUUACCUACGUCCACCAACCAAAGAGGAGAGCUUCUUAUUAACAAACCAACAAAGAUACAACGUAUCUAACCAAUGGAGAAAAUCUCCGAAACAAAUCUCUCACUCACCAAGCAAAUCUCUAUCUACCAGACCCACCCCUAACUGUAAUUAAAAAUCAGAAUAUUUAGAGGCAAGAAAAGGCCUUAAAAAAUGGCCCAAAAAAAGGCACAAGAACCCUCCAACAAGGACUUAAUUUGUGAAAAAACAAAAAAGAGCCCCAAACCUAAAGUUAGCUUCUAGAACCACCAAAAGCAAAUAUACCUUCAUCAAUAGGUGGUUGGGAGGUGGUGUGCUGCUCAAGAAGAAAAAAAAAUGCUGGCUUGAUUGUAUUGGAGCCCAAGGAAAAUUCAAAAUAAUGGCUUUUUUUUUCCUUCUUCUUCUUCUCCUUCUUCUAUGAACUUUGAUAGUGACUCCUUCGACGAAACCACUGUUCAGAGAUUGAUGUGGUACAACUUGUAAACCUCAAAUAGUGCAAUAAUCCCCAAGUAGUGUAAUAAUCUAAUAGACAAUAAUGGAGGUAAAUAAACUAACUAUGAAAAACAAUAAAGAACACAGUUGUUUUACGUGGUAAAACCCAAUUACUGGGAAACACCCAUGAUCGUCCUCAUGACGAUAAAUAAUUCACUUUAUGAAAUAGAAAAGUACACUCACUAAUACACUCACAGAUUAACCCAAUCACAAAAGUUAAUAGUUGUAGUGCUCCGCGUAGUCUUAUAUCUGUGCAAUCAUUGCAACACCUUCCCAGACUCACUCUGAGAAGAACUCCUUGUAGUUGUUGUUGGAAUGGACAAGAUGAAGGUUUCCUUUGCUUCACACAGGAGGUUAUAGAGAUAACGGAAAACCUUAGGUUUCUUUAUUCUAGAGAAACCCUAAUAUAAUUCCAUGUCUAGCCUUGAUUCCAUGUCGGCCCAUUACUACACAUGGGCUUGAAUCACUCAAGCUCCACUAAUCCCACGAAUUGUGUCAACCUUGUUAUCUCCACCAAUGCUGUGACAAAUACGAUCCAUAAUUAUUUUCCACUCCUCCAGAGAGUGAGGCGCCAAGAUUUGGAACGCUUUGAUGAGUGGCUUAGGACUGAUGUUGGUCAACCAUUGAGAGAUCUCUGUACUCCAUGGUGCUUUUAUGGAUGAUACACUAUUAGGACUUGUGAAGCCUGUCAAACUGCAUCUACAACCUGUAGAAGGAAAAAGCUUUUAGGUCACAAAGAGUUGAUACUAAUUAAAAAGCAGGCUAAGAACAAAAUGAAGAAAUAGGGGCCGAAGAUGUUCAUAGUAAGGAUUCUACCAUAAUCUGGCCUAGUUACAAGUAUGUUCUCAAAGUUACUAUAUUGUUGGGGUUGACAACACUCACCUCUCAGGUCUUGUUGAUUAUCUCUUUUACCCAUUAAAAUCUCAUAUGCGACACCUGAUAAAGAUAAGAGGAUGCAAUUGAAUAAGAACAAAAUUAUAACUUCAUCAAAUUCACGUACAUAUAUAUUUUCAUUCUUUAUACGUCCACUUGAAUUUAUAGUGUCCCGUUGGACGAGUUGCUAGCCCUCUAGCAAUACCAGUAAUGUUCCUUCUUUUCCUGGGCACUUGUAUACAGAAUAACUAAUAAAUUUUGGUUUCGUUUUGUAUGUGGUUCAUGUGGUCCCAAUCACAUCACGCUACGUGUUAACAAAAAUAUAACCAAUAUUUUUUGAUUUUUAUCUCUUAAUGUUUCUGUAAAAUAUUGGCCGAUGUUUUCGAUAUUUACUGAUAUUUUCCGAUAUUUUUUUGAAAAUAUUAUUUUUUGCAAUUUGUUUUUUGAAAAUUAUUUUUUUAUUCUAUUUUUAGUAGAUAUGAUGUUUUUUAGGUAAAUACUAUGAUAAUAUAUUUUUAAAUUUGAUUUUAUAUAUAUUUUGCAUAACAAUUGAUAUACAUUUGAUGUAUAAUAUCCACCGAUAGAUUCCAAAUUUCCAAUAUAUGCCGAUAUAUCUAUUUUUUGGAGAUUGAUAUCGAUACCGAUAUUUUGUACUAUGGGUACAUCCAUAUAAAUCUUAUCUUUAUGGACUGCAUUCCUGUGAUCUUAUCUUUCUUGCACAUGUGCUGUAUUGAUGAAAUACUUAAGAGGAUAUUGCUAGAGGUUUGGUAGAGGUUAUUGAUCAUGCACUCACAUACACUAUGAAUAUGCACCGCGUAUGCGUAUGAAAAAAACGGCCAACAAUUAGAAAACGACCUGCUUAUAUUUAUGACCAACAAAAUAACGGAAAAACAACCUUCUUUUAAAUAUUUAUUUGGGUUUAUGACUAUAAUAUAAAAAAUAAAAUAAUUUUAUUUUUUACAAGUUAUUAUUAUUAUUUUUCACAAAAUCUGUAGAUUAUUUUAUACUUAUAAGAAUAUAGUAGGUUUCACUUUUUGAAAUUAUCUUAUUACUCUUUUUGUUAUUGUAGUAAGACAAGUGCCUUAGCCGAUGCUACGCACGGGUUAAUUUUAAUUUAUCUGUGUCUGAUUACCAUUCGAGUUUUAAGUUAUUAAUUUUAAUAAAUAUUACAAAUUAUAUUAAUUUAUUAAAUCUUAUAAAAUAAUUAUUUCUUAAGAUUUUUAUUAUAUUUUGUUAAUUUAAUUAUUUUGCAUUAGCCAUCUGGACACAUAGACCUACUAGGAAUAUUUGAAAGUUUUGCAUUAUUGGAGAGCUGCCUUUCAUGCAUUUAAAACAAUGCAUGAAAUCAAUCCAAUAUUAUUUCUGUUUGCAAUCAGUGUUGCUGCAACCAGCCAACCACUUACAGCUCAUUAUGUAUAUAUCCACAUAUGGACCACAUUAUCUUAUGGCAAACAGAAAUAAUAAAUCCCUACAUCAAAUGUUAGCAAUAAUGAUUUCAAAGGAGAAUCUCUUAUUGAUGCUAAAGUAAUAAAGCACUAAUUUAUAAAAUAUAAAACAAAACAAAAACAUAGAGUAUGAUUUUGCAUGGACUGAUAUAAAUUUAUUUGUAUGUUAUUAUGUUUCUCCACUUUUACUGCUGUUGCAUUGUGACAAACAAAAAAAAAAGGCUCCAAUCAAUGAAUACGAUGAUGACAGCGGGUUCCAAUGAAUCUGUAUUUCGUAGGAUUGGUUUUGCUAUUAAUAAAGACUUGCAACGCAGUUUACAGUGCGUUUAUCCUUUAACUUUAUGUAAUUACUUGAAUUUUUAUCAAUAAAAUUAGAAAUAAUAAAAUUAGUUUUAAUUUUAAUUUUUUUCAACUACAACCAUUUCAAGCUUCCAUAUUAUCUAUACCUUCCUUAGGUCACUAACAUAUAAGCCUUGAUGAUUGACUCUAUUAACUAGCUCAUAGGCAGAGGCGGCUCUACAGUUUAGACAGAAUAGGCAGGUGCCUAGGGCCCCACUUCUCUCGAGGCCCCAUUUUGUGGAAUUCUACAUAGUUUUCUUUCAUAUUUUGCUAUUCUUCAUGUUUUUCGGGAUUUUUUUUCCUAUUUGAAGGGGUUUUUUUUUUAAAAAAAAAAUCUCUUUCCUAAUUUUUAGGUGUUUUAUUGUUGUGCUUCAUUAAAUGCAAUCAAAUAUCUUUAUUAGAUCGAUUAGUGGGUAGUGGGUCUGCAUUUAAUAAAAUAAAAAGCAUUAGUAAUUGUUAUUUGACAAAUUUUUAUUAUUAAUAUUUUAAAUUACAAAUUGCCUCAGCUUUCAGAUGCUUAGGGCCUCCAAUUUGCUUGAGCCGGCCCUGCUCAUAGGUGCCCUUAAACAUGCAAUUGUUUUUUAUCCAACUUGUGAGGACUAUUUUCAAUUAUAGCUCUUUGAUAUUUAUCAUGUUUCUUCUUAGUCACCUUGUUGCGGAUAAAAGUGUAGGGUAUUAUAUUAAAAGCCUCGUGAAAAAUCAAAAGCUCCUAAUACCUAAUAAUACACUUUAUUCAUUAUAUUGUUUUAUUAUUGUUAAUUUUUGUUUUAUAUUGACGAUAUUUAGGGAUAUAUUAAGCGUUAGGUUUUUAUAAGUCAUAUACUCCAUUCAAUUAAUUGAUUAUUGCAAUGUCUAAUUGGCAAUAAAAAUUGCUAACUGAAAUAGUUUUAUUGUUUUUAGUUAAUUUUGCAAAAGUUUAUCAUUUUUUUUGUUGAUUAUUACAAUUUUUCGAUCAUUACAUUGUAUAUUAUUAUUAAUUUCUCUUUUUUAGUGUUGUAGUGGCUACAUUUUUUUUGGUCGCUUCGGACCAAAAAAAUGUUAGGGUCGGCCCUGACUAAAAUGUAUAAUGCAGUGAACUCUAGUGGGAUUUAAACAAGUUAAAUUAAUUUUAUAUCGUUCCUACAGAUAGAUUCCACGGGACAAAAUCACAAUAGUUUAAUUUUUUGUGAGGAGGUGUUGCUCACUUGAUGCGAUCCUUAAUUCCUUAUUACAGUAUAACCUUAUAAAUUAAUAGCGUUGAGACCACCAAAAUCUAUUAAUUUAACACAAUGCUUAUUAAUUGAUAAAUUAAUAAUCUAUUAAUUUAACAUAGUAUUGAUAAAUAAUCAGUUUUAUUCUAAGUGUAAUUAGUAAUUUUUAUUUGAAAGGGACAGAGCAUUAGCAACCAGCUGCCGACUUCAAUUUUUUUCAGAAUUAAUCAGAACAUGUGAAGUCAAGAAUUCAUAUCCAAUAUUGGUCUGGUCCUACUAUUGGAGAUGAAAAUUUUGGUGGUGAGCCACAUAUAUUUUGAAUUUCAUGUCUUUUUAACAUGGCUUUUUUAUUUAUUUAUUUAUUUUAAACAAACGAGGUUGAGGGGACCUUUUAAAUUCUGUGAGGAAACUUUUUAUCAAACAAUCAACUGCUGAUGUGUUUCGAACCCACACCCUCUCCAUUUAGUGAGAGGGAUCCAACCGUUGAGCAACAUGCUCAUUCGCUUCAACAUGGCUAGCUUUAACAUACAGUAAGUUGCUUUUACUACAACAGUAACUUCUAACAAAUCAACUCCCUGUUUGUAAUAGUGACUACACACUGUUAGUUUGACAAACCUUAUACUAUAUCUACGUAACAAACAAACCAACCGUGGUAAGCCGGACAAGAAAUUUUCCAAGAACAAGGUACGUACUGACGUACAUGCCUGCAUAAGUUUACAAGGGGGCAAGUAUGCCUGGGGUCUUGAACUUUUUUCCUAUCUGAGUAUUGGUGUCUCAGUCUCUCAGAGGCAUACAAAAUGAAUGUUCUGUAAAGAUGCAUGUCUCACGGACAUGCUUAACCUAAUAACGAUAAAUUAGCUAUUUUGGUCUCCUAACUUUACCCAAAUUUUCAGUUGAGUCCCCAAAGUUUAAAUUGGUCAAUUUGGUCCCAAAUCUUUCCAAACAUUUAACAAUUCUCUUUUUUACAAAAUGGGUUCUAUUUUUACACAGUUUGGGUUUGUGUUCUAUUUUAAAACAAUAUGAUGUUGCGCGUGCCACUCACGUGCUCUGCUGACCUGGCAAAAAAAUAUAUUAAAAUUUGAAUUUAAAAGACCAUGUGUGAUAGUAAACUGCCAAGACAACUUUGUUAGAUGCUUGGUAACGGUGAGACCAUUUUGCAAACGUUUUGAAAGAUUUGGGACCAAAUUGAGCAGUUUAAACUUUGAGGACUUUAACUGAAAAUUUGAGCAAAGUUAGGGGACCAAAAUAACUAAUUGUUCACUUAAUAACCUUCAAAGUUGAACCAGCAACCUUGCCCUAUUCAGUGUGUAUUUAUGUGUAACAAUAAUGUAACAACAUGGAGAGAAGCCAACUUUGGAGCAGACUGUUGUUCAAAACAUGGAGGAACUAUGAGUAAAGGCUCUAUAAAGUGGUGGAACUGCAGGUCUAGUUUCCUGAAUUCCAUUGAAAGUCCAGCAACCACCUACAUACUUUAAAAGGAAACGAGGCAGGUUAAAAGCCAAACAACAUAUUGAUCAAGCAUGGGCAAACUUUUUUUUUUUUUUUUUUUUUUUUUAAAUUUGAACUUUUUCAAGAAAAUAAAAGCGUGGGAAAAAUUUAAUUUCCUUGCACAUGCAUACAAAACGUUACCCAGCUGUAGUGAGUCCGACCUUCAUGGUCCACUGAUUCUGUCCUUUACCUUUCAGAUCAAGCUCUCCGAUCCUAGCCAGUAGUUGGAUUGUUUGUAUGUAUUUGAGGUCAAUCACAUUAUCUAUUUAACUCUAUAAAUUCAGAAUAUUGAUCACUCACUCUAAACACCAACCAUAACCAAAGGAGGCUCUCAAACAUGAAGCCCUUACUACUAUCCUGCUCCCUUUUAUUUUUUCUCUUACCUGUGAUCAUGUACAUUGAGUGUGUACCUGAUUCUCACAGCGCUUCUAAGCAAGAACACGUACAUUUUGAUACAGGUGGAUUGAGUAGGGAAAGUUUCCCAAAAGAGUUUGUGUUUGGAACUUCCACAGCAGCUUAUCAAGUUGAGGGUAUGGCUAGGAAAGAAGGUCGUGGACCUAAUUUGUGGGAUAUCUUUACGAGAAUUCCUGGUAAUUUUUUCUAACGUGAGUACGUACGUGCAUAGCGUUUACCAAAAUAAACUAACAUUUAAUAAUAGUAUAUAUAUCUUGCAAACAAGAACUUUCUCUGUAGCCCUGAGCAAGGUGUUCGAUCUCCUAAGCAUCUGUCCAUCAUACAUUUUAGACAUUGUCUAUGCAAAUUCAAGAACUGUCAUUAUACCGAAAUCUCGAGAUUUAAAUAGAUCUUUAUAAUGAAUGGCCCAAUAAAUGCUUUGGGAGUACUCUAAGCGUUAUGGAGAAAAAAAUUUCUCUCAUUAAUAAACAUGAAGUCUUUAUACUGUUUUGAUGUAUUAUUUUGAUUUUGUUAUUUGUAGGGUUUAUUGCAGACAAUUCUUCAGGAGAUGUUGCGGCAGAUCAGUACAACCGUUAUGAAGUAUGAAAUUUAGGGUUUAUUCAUCCUGUGAUCAUUUUCUUGUCUUUUAGUAUCCAAUUAUUUUCUGCAAUAUUUAUGUAUACCAAACAACAAAAUUGUUAAGAGUAUAUAUAUAGGGUUUAUUAUAAGAAAUGAAUGUUGUCUUGACUGCAGCAUGAUGUGGAUAUUAUGCAAAAGUUGAACUUCGAUGCAUACCGUUUUUCAAUCUCAUGGUCCAGGAUUUUUCCAGGUAAAUUUACUCUUUAUUUAUGGAUUUUAACUUGAAUUAAUUUAAUAGCUAAUUAUAAGAAAUAUUGAUCGAUCUUCUAAUUUGAUGAAGAUGGAGUGGGCAAGGUAAACCCGAAAGGAGUUGCUUACUACAACAGACUGAUUGACUACUUGCUUCAGAAAGGUAAACUGGAAAAUAGUUAAUUUGUAUUCCAAUAAUUACCUCCGUCGUUGAUUGGUGUACUAUCUACAUCUUAAAUGGACCCUUUCUAAAAUUUCUUAACUUUAAAAACUGAUAUAAUUUCAUUUUUUUACCGCACACAGGCAUUACUCCGUAUGUCUGUCUCUUUCACCAAGACCUUCCAUAUGCACUUGAGAAGAAAUAUAAAGGACUGUUAAACCGUCAAUUUGUGUAAGUAAUUUACAGUGCCGGAUAUCUUUUGAUGUAAAUUUAUUUGCUUAUUUGCAUGAUAGGGUUAAUUCACAAGUUUCUAUGAGUAUGACUUCUUAUUCAAAUCAUGCAGGAACGAUUUUGCAGAUUAUGCAGAUUUUUGUUUCAAGACAUUUGGAGAUAGAGUUAAAACUUGGUUCACAUUCAAUGAGCUAAAAAUUUCAGCUGCUUAUGGUUAUGACACUGGUUUAUUUCCUCCUGCGAGAUGUACAAACUGUACAGCAGGCGGGAAUUCAGCAACUGAGCCUUACAUUGUGGCUCAUAAUCUUCUUUUAGCCCAUGGAGCAGCAGUUCAGAAAUAUCGUCAAAAGCAUCUGGUAAAACCAAUUUUGUACCAAAUGUAUACUUUUGUAUAUACAUAUAUAUACCUAUUUAAUUGUCUUGUUAACAGCCAACACAAAAAGGAAGGAUUGGAAUUAUCUUGGAUUUUAAUUGGUAUGAACCUUAUUCCAAUUCGACGGCUGACAAACUAGCAGCUCAAAGAGCAAGAGACUUUCAUCUUGGAUGGUAAUCAUGCUUGGAGAUUAAUAAAUCACAUACUUGAGUUAAAACAUAAUAGUGGUUUAGUAUUAAAUUGAAUGAGACUCUCUGCAGGUUUCUUCAUCCAAUCGUAUAUGGAGGGUACCCUGCUACAAUGCAAGAAAACGUUGGGAAAAGGCUUCCAAAAUUUACUGAUUCAGAGUUUAAAAUGGUUAAGGGAUCAAUGGACUUUUUGGGUAUAAACCAUUAUACUGCUUACUUUGUGCACUAUCCGCAUCAGAAACCUCCGGCAGACACAAGCUACCAGAUGGACUGGAAUGCUGUUGUUGUUAGUAAGUUUCUGUACUACCUUGUUAUGCAGAGGUGUUGCUUUGCAAUAAAACUAACAAUUUUUUACGAAUGUUCUGUACAGAUGAACGCGACGGAAAACCAGUUGGAGAUCUGGUAUGUGAAAUAAGGUGUUUUAUUACUUAAAUUUCAGAGUAAUUAAGGAUUCUCGAUCUCUUAUUUAUUUCUUCUCCAUUUAGCUCUUUGUAUGGUGUGAGACUGAGUUAAUUUGCUGUGAUCCUUUUACUAUAGUUGACAAGCUAAUCAUUUACAGGCAAAUUCUGACUGGCUUUUCAUUGUACCCUGGGGAAUGUACAAAAUAGUGACCUAUAUAAAAGAUCAUUACCAGAAUCCAACACUGAUGAUAACGGAAAAUGGUAAUAGCCACAAACCACAUCUGAAUGCAUAAGGCUUAUUGUCUUUCUUAUGACAAAUCAAUUAUAUAAUAACUAUUCAAACCUUCAUGGUUUUGCAGGCAUGGAUGAUCCUGGUAACGUAACAAUUCCAAAGGCAUUGCAUGACACCAAGAGAAUCAAUUACUACAAGAGCUACUUGAACUACCUCAAGAAAGCUAUGCAUGAUGGAGCCAAAGUAACCCAUUACUUUGCAUGGUCAUUGCUCGACAACUUCGAAUGGAGAUCAGGGUACACAUCAAGAUUUGGAAUCGUCUACGUUGACUUCAAUAGCCUCAAGAGAUACCCCAAGAUGUCUGCCUACUGGUUCAAAACAUUACUUGCUAAAAAGAAGGC
rnacentral:lncRNA from 1 species